rnacentral:tRNA from 1 species
UAUAUUUUAGUAUAUGACGUACAAAAAUUUUUGAAAUUUUAUGAAUUAGUUUAAUUCUAAUAAAUAUAA